AUGUCUCCCAUUGAUUCAUUCAUGCAACAAGGAGGGUACCCACCCUUCUUCACGUCGCAUGCAACAAGGGUGAUCGACGCGGACUACCGCCGCCUAGUGGGCGUCGUGCUCUUCAACCACUCAGACGUGGACUUCGCCGUGAAGCCCGGUGACUGCGUCGCACAGAUGAUUGUCCAGGAGAUCGUGACGCCGAAGGUCGCCGAGGUGGAGGACCUCGAUACCAUCGUUUGGGGCGAGGGAGGAUUGGGGUCCACCAGCAUCUGA
rnacentral:rRNA from 1 species